AUACGUAGGGCGCGAGCGUUGUCCGGAAUUACUGGGCGUAAAGAGCUCGUAGGUGGUUUGUCGCGUCGUCUGUGAAAUUCCGGGGCUUAACUCCGGGCGUGCAGGCGAUACGGGCAUAACUUGAGUACUGUAGGGGAGACUGGAAUUCCUGGUGUAGCGGUGAAAUGCGCAGAUAUCAGGAGGAACACCGGUGGCGAAGGCGGAUCUCUGGGCAGUAACUGACGCUGAGGAGCGAAAGCAUGGGUAGCGAACAGGAUUAGAUACCCUGGUAGUCCAUGCCGUAAACGGUGGGCGCUAGGUGUAGGGGUCUUCCACGACUUCUGUGCCGUAGCUAACGCAUUAAGCGCCCCGCCUGGGGAGUACGGCCGCAAGGCUAAAACUCAAAUGAAUUGGCGGGG
rnacentral:rRNA from 1 species